rnacentral:rRNA from 1 species
GGGGUGAGAUUUGAUCCUGGCUCAGGACGAACGCUGGCGGCGUGCUUAACACAUGCAAGUCGAACGAUGAAGCCCUUCGGGGUGGAUUAGUGGCGAACGGGUGAGUAACACGUGGGCAAUCUGCCCUUCACUCUGGGACAAGCCCUGGAAACGGGGUCUAAUACCGGAUAAUACUCCUGCCUGCAUGGGCGGGGGUUGAAAGCUCCGGCGGUGAAGGAUGAGCCCGCGGCCUAUCAGCUUGUUGGUGGGGUAAUGGCCCACCAAGGCGACGACGGGUAGCCGGCCUGAGAGGGCGACCGGCCACACUGGGACUGAGACACGGCCCAGACUCCUACGGGAGGCAGCAGUGGGGAAUAUUGCACAAUGGGCGAAAGCCUGAUGCAGCGACGCCGCGUGAGGGAUGACGGCCUUCGGGUUGU